rnacentral:rRNA from 1 species
AUUGAACGCUGGCGGCAUGCCUAACACAUGCAAGUCGAACGGCAGCACGGUCUAGUUUACUAGAUGGGUGGCGAGUGGCGGACGGGUGAGUAACGCGUAGGAAUAUGCCUUAAAGAGGGGGACAACUUGGGGAAACUCAAGCUAAUACCGCAUAAUCUCUGAGGAGAAAAGCUGGGGACCUUUUGGCCUGGCGCUUUAAGAAUAGCCUGCGUACGAUUAGCUAGUUGGUGGGGUAAGGGCCUACCAAGGCGACGAUCGUUAGCUGGUUUGAGAGAAUGGCCAGCCACACUGGAACUGAGACACGGUCCAGACUCCUACGGGAGGCAGCAGUGGGGAAUAUUGGACAAUGGGGGGAACCCUGAUCCAGCAAUGCCGCGUGUGUGAAGAAGGCCUGAGGGUUGUAAAGCACUUUCAGUGGGGAGGAGGGAUGACUGGUUAAGAGCUGGUUAUUUGGACGUUACCCACAGAAGAAGCACCGGCUAACUCCGUGCCAGCAGCCGCAGUAACAC